rnacentral:rRNA from 1 species
UACGUAGGGGGCAAGCGUUGUCCGGAUUUAUUGGGCGUAAAGAGCUCGUAGGCGGUUUGGUAAGUCAGGUGUGAAAUCCCCACGCUCAACGUGGAGGGGCCACCUGAUACUGCCUUGCUUGAGGACUGGAGAGGAGACUGGAAUUCACGGUGUAGCAGUGAAAUGCGUAGAGAUCGUGAGGAAGACCAGUGGCGAAGGCGGGUCUCUGGACAGUUCCUGACACUGAGGCACGAAGGCCAGGGGAGCAAACGGG